rnacentral:rRNA from 1 species
CCUACGGGGGGCAGCAGUGGGGAAUAUUGCACAAUGGGCGCAAGCCUGAUGCAGCCAUGCCGCGUGUGUGAAGAAGGCCUUCGGGUUGUAAAGCACUUUCAGCGGGGAGGAAGGCGUUAAGGUUAAUAACCUUGUCGAUUGACGUUACCCGCAGAAGAAGCACCGGCUAACUCCGUGCCAGCAGCCGCGGUAAUACGGAGGGUGCAAGCGUUAAUCAGAAUUACUGGGCGUAAAGCGCACGCAGGCGGUCUGUCAAGUCGGAUGUGAAAUCCCCGGGCUCAACCUGGGAACUGCAUUCGAAACUGGCAGGCUAGAGUCUUGUAGAGGGGGGUAGAAUUCCAGGUGUAGCGGUGAAAUGCGUAGAGAUCUGGAGGAAUACCGGUGGCGAAGGCGGCCCCCUGGACAAAGACUGACGCUCAGGUGCGAAAGCGUGGGGAGCAAACAGGAUUAGAUACCCCGGUAGUC